rnacentral:misc_RNA from 1 species
GAUGAAGAACGCAGCGAAAUGCGAUACGUAAUGUGAAUUGCAGAAUUCAGUGAAUCAUCGAGUCUUUGAACGCACAUUGCGCCCCCUGGUAUUCCGGGGGGCAUGCCUCUCCGAGCGUCAUUGCUGCCCUCAAGCACGGCUUGUGUGUUGGGCCUCCGUCCUCCUCCCGGGGGACGGGCCCGAAAGGCAGCGGCGGCACCGCGUCCGGUCCUCGAGCGUAUGGGGCUUCGUCACCCGCUCUUGUAGGCCCGGCCGGCGCUUGCCGACACAUCAAUCUUUUUUCCAGGUUGACCUCGGAUCAGGUAGGGAUACCCGCUGAACUUAAGCAUAUCAAUAAGCGGAGGA